GACGUAGGGGGCCAGCGUUGUUCGGAAUUACUGGGUGUAAAGCGCACGUAGGCGGAUCUUUAAGUCAGGGGUGAAAUCCCGAGGCUCAACCUCGGAACUGCCUUUGAUACUGGAGAUCUUGAGUUCGGGAGAGGUGAGUGGAACUGCGAGUGUAGAGGUGAAAUUCGUAGAUAUUCGCAAGAACACCAGUGGCGAAGGCGGCUCACUGGCCCGAUACUGACGCUGAGGUGCGAAAGCGUGGGGAGCAAACAGG
rnacentral:rRNA from 1 species